AUUGAACGCUGGCGGCAGGCUUAACACAUGCAAGUCGAGCGAGCGGCGGACGGGUGAGUAAUGUCUGGGAAACUGCCUGUUGGAGGGGGAUAACUACUGGAAACGGUAGCUAAUACCGCAUACAAUAAGAUGUGCCCAGAUGGGUUUAGCUAGUAGGUGGGGUAAUGGCUCACCUAGGCGACGAUCCCUAACUGGUCUGAGAGGAUGACCAGCCACACGGGAACUGAGACACGGUACAGACUCCUACGGGAGGCAGCAGUGGGGAAUAUUGGACAAUGGGCGAAAGCCUGAUGCAGCCAUGCCGCGUGUGUGAAGAAGGCCUUCGGGUUGUAAAGCACUUUCAGCGAGGAGGCGUUACUCGCAGAAGAAGCACCGGCUAACUCCGUGCCAGCAGCCGCGGUAAUUC
rnacentral:rRNA from 1 species